rnacentral:rRNA from 1 species
UGUGUAGGCGGUUUGAUAAGUUGGAUGUGAAAGCUCCUGACUUAACUGGGAGAGGUCGUUCAAAACUAUCAGACUUGAGAGUGGUAGAGGGAGGUGGAAUUCCGGGUGUAGUGGUGAAAUGCGUAGAUAUCCGGAGGAACACCAGUGGCGAAAGCGGCCUCCUGGCCCAUUUCUGACGCUCAGACACGAAAGCUAAGGUAGCAAACG